rnacentral:rRNA from 1 species
AUGGCCGUGGACGAUGAGAUGUCGCGCCGGUUCCUCCCCUGGGGCCUGCCCCUCAGGAGCGGUUCUGGGUACAGGGUAACCCCGAGGCCGGACGAGCCCGUCUAUGUCACCGGCGCCUACCUGCUCGACUCCGAGAGCACUGUCGGCCAGGGCGCCGUGGACGCCUGCGUCCAUAUCGACACGCGGAACCUCCUUAGCGCGUUGCUAUCGGCGGAGAACCCCCGCGUGGAGCUACAGACCCCGGUGCGGCUGGAGAUGGACAAGGAGUGUUGCUUCCACGUGCCUCAUGGAGGCGAUUCUGACGCCGAAGCAGACAGGGACGCCGAUGCAGACACCGGCCUAGACGUCGACGCCGACGCCGAUGAUGACGCCGACGCCGACACGGUUAUCGUCAUGUUCGAGGGUUUCCUUGUUACUCCGCAACCUCUUGACACGGAGGAGGAGGAGGAGGAGGAUGACGACGACGUGGGAGAGAAGGAGACUGGCAGAGACGACGACGAUGAGUACGAGGAGGAGGAGGAAGAAACUUGA